rnacentral:rRNA from 1 species
AGUGAACGCUGGCGGCGUGCCUAAUACAUGCAAGUCGAACGGAGUGGCGCACGGGUGAGUAAUAUAUAGCUAAUAUGCCCCUUGCUGGAGGACAACAGUUAGAAAUGACUGAUAAUACUCCAUAGGAAGGGAUGAGACUAUAUCGUAUCAGCUAGUCGGUGGGGUAACGGCCUACCGAGGCUAUGACGCGUAACUGGUCUGAGAGGAUGCACAGUAACAGUGGAAAGUAGACACGAGCCAAACUCCUACGGGAGUGAGCAGGAGGGAAGAGUGCGCAAUGGGGGAAACCCGGACGCACCAACGCCGCGUGGAGUAUGACACUUUUCGGAGCGUACACUCCUUUUGUUAGGGAAGCGGUACCUAACGAAUAAGCACCGGCUAACUCCGUGCCAGCCGCCGCGGUAAUAC